AUUGAACGCUGGCGGCAGGCCUAACACAUGCAAGUCGAGCGGGGUUUUCGGACCUAGCGGCGGACGGGUGAGUAAUGCGUAGGAAGCUACCCGAUAGAGGGGGAUACCAGUUGGAAACGACUGUUAAUACCGCAUAAUGUCUACGGACCAAAGUGUGGGACCUUCGGGCCACAUGCUAUCGGAUGCGCCUACGUGGGAUUAGCUAGUUGGUGAGGUAAUGGCUCACCAAGGCGACGAUCCCUAGCUGGUUUGAGAGGAUGAUCAGCCACACUGGAACUGAGACACGGUCCAGACUCCUACGGGAGGCAGCAGUGGGGAAUAUUGGACAAUGGGCGCAAGCCUGAUCCAGCCAUGCCGCGUGUGGGAAGAAGGCCUUCGGGUUGUAAAGCACUUUCAGUAGGGAGGAAGGGUUAAGUGUUAAUAGUACUUAACUUUGACGUUACCUACAGAAGAAGCACCGGCUAACUACGUGCCAGCAGCCGCCGUAAAAC
rnacentral:rRNA from 1 species